rnacentral:rRNA from 1 species
UGGGGAAUAUUGCACAAUGGGCGCAAGCCUGAUGCAGCCAUGCCGCGUGUAUGAAGAAGGCCUUCGGGUUGUAAAGUACUUUCAGCGAGGAGGAAGGCGUUGUGGUUAAUAACCGCCACGAUUGACGUUACUCGCAGAAGAAGCACCGGCUAACUCCGUGCCAGCAGCCGCGGUAAUACGGAGGGUGCAAGCGUUAAUCGGAAUUACUGGGCGUAAAGCGCACGCAGGCGGUCUGUCAAGUCGGAUGUGAAAUCCCCGGGCUCAACCUGGGAACUGCAUCCGAAACUGGCAGGCUAGAGUCUUGUAGAGGGGGGUAGAAUUCCAGGUGUAGCGGUGAAAUGCGUAGAGAUCUGGAGGAAUACCGGUGGCGAAGGCGGCCCCCUGGACAAAGACUGACGCUCAGGUGCGAAAGCGUGGGGAGCAAACA